GCAGCUAUGGCGGAAUCGGUAGACGCGCUAGAUUCAGGUUCUAGUGAGCCCAAGCUCAUGGAAGUUCAAAUCUUCUUAGCUGCA
rnacentral:tRNA from 1 species